rnacentral:rRNA from 1 species
ACAACCAGGAUGUUGGCUUAGAAGCAGCCACCAUUGAAAGAGUGCGUAAUAGCUCACUGGUCGAGUGACCCCGCGCCGAAAAUGUACCGGGGCUAAACAUAUUACCGAAACUGUGGAUGAACCUCUUAGGAGGUUCGUGGUAGGAGAGCGUUCUAAGGGCGGUGAAGUCAGACCGGAAGGACUGGUGGAGCGCUUAGAAGUGAGAAUGCCGGUAUGAGUAGCGAAAGAAGGGUGAGAAUCCCUUCCACCGAAUAUCUAAGGUUUCCUGAGGAAGGCUCGUCCGCUCAGGGUUAGUCGGGACCUAAGCUGAGGCCGAUAGGCGUAGGCGAUGGACAACAGGUAGAUAUUCCUGUACCAGUGCGAGUUGUUUGAGCAAUGGGGUGACACAGAAGGAUAGGGAAUCGCACAGAUGGAAACGUGCGUCCAAGCAGUGAGUGUGAGAAGUAGGCAAAUCCGCUUCUCGCGAAGCAUGAGCUGUGAUGGGGAAGGAAAUUCAGUACGGAAGUUCCUGAUUUCACGCUGUCAAGAAAAGCCUCUAGUUAGAUUAGUACUGCCCGUACCGCAAACCGACACAGGUAGAUGAGGAGAGAAUCCUAAGGUGAGCGAGAGAACUCUCGUUAAGGAACUCGGCAAAAUGACCCCGUAACUUCGGGAGAAGGGGUGCUCUAUUAGGG